ACCUAUUGGACCCGGGGGCGGUACCCGGCGCCUCCACCAAAAUAUGAUCCUCUGUUAAUCAUAUUUUGAUGGGGGCGAAAUAGGAUCGACAAGGGUGUAAAGAUCGCUCUUUUACUCGGCAUUGUACCACCGUUAUCGGGCUAAAUGAGUAGUUGCAAAUGACAACUAUGCGGAAGCACGUCUCGCCGCUUAAGGUGGUGUGAAUGCUUCAAAUUAAGCCUUAAACCGUCGCAGGUUUAAGCGGGGUUCGGAGG
rnacentral:tmRNA from 1 species